AUUAGAAAGCGAAUUAUCGCAUUUAGUUUCGACCUAAACCUUAGACCCUUAGUCUUCUAAUU
rnacentral:tRNA from 1 species